CUCAUGCAAAUAAUUCAAUCCCCUGCAAAAAAACUCCAGACAUAUUAAUGAUCUUUCAGCCUAACCUGAGUCUCAAGCAACCAACAUAACAUAAAACAUGUUCAGGUUCAUGAACCGAAUCAGUCACAAUCACAAUAAUCUCUUUGAUAUUGCAAGUAGUGUUUUGCAAAAACAUCAACCACCAUAUAAGAUCUUUUAUCUUUUCCUUUUUGGGUUCAAAGGGAGGCCCAAUGGGUUGUAAUACAGUAUGGGCUACACAAUAGGGGAAAACGCUUCCCUUUCAUAACUCUGUCGGUGGAUGGGGGAAUUUAAGGGUAUGAGUUGACCAACCAAACUAAGCCUGAUAAGCACCAUAUAAGAUCUUUCAGGUACAAGCUCAUAACCAUCACCUCAUGCAUAGAGUCACUAAUGAUUUCUUGCAGAUUGAGAAUUUUGCAGCCUCUCAACCACUAUACAAGAUCCGUCAAGAGUUUUAAACUUGAGCAUAUCAUCUAUUUCCCCUAACAUUUAUAUGGAAGUGAG
rnacentral:misc_RNA from 1 species